rnacentral:rRNA from 1 species
CCUACGGGAGGCAGCAGUGGGGAAUAUUGCACAAUGGGGGAAACCCUGAUGCAGCAACGCCGCGUGAGUGAUGACGGUCUUCGGAUUGUAAAGCUCUGUCUUCAGGGACGAUAAUGACGGUACCUGAGGAGGAAGCCACGGCUAACUACGUGCCAGCAGCCGCGGUAAUACGUAGGUGGCAAGCGUUGUCCGGAUUUACUGGGCGUAAAGGGAGCGUAGGUGGAUAUUUAAGUGGGAUGUGAAAUACUCGGGCUUAACCUGGGUGCUGCAUUCCAAACUGGAUAUCUAGAGUGCAGGAGAGGAAAGUAGAAUUCCUAGUGUAGCGGUGAAAUGCGUAGAGAUUAGGAAGAAUACCAGUGGCGAAGGCGACUUUCUGGACUGUAACUGACACUGAGGCUCGAAAGCGUGGGGAGCAAACAGGAUUAGAUACCCCUGUAGUC